GUGAGGAAUAUUGCGCAAUGGAGGCAACUCUGACGCAGCCAUGCCGCGUGCAGGAAGAAGGCGCUACGCGUUGUAAACUGCUUUUAACCGGGAAGAAACCCCAGGACGUGUCCUGGGUUGACGGUACCGGAGGAAUAAGCACCGGCUAACUUCGUGCCAGCAGCCGCGGUAAUACGAAGGGUGCAAGCGUUAUCCGGAUUCAUUGGGUUUAAAGGGUGCGUAGGCGGAGCGUUAAGUCAGUGGUGAAAUCCUGCAGCUUAACUGUAGACUUGCCAUUGAUACUGGCGCUCUUGAGUGCGCUUGAAGUGGGCGGAAUGUGCCGUGUAGCGGUGAAAUGCUUAGAUAUGGCACAGAACACCAAUUGCGAAGGCAGCUCACUAAGGCGAUACUGACGCUGAGGCACGAAAGCGUGGGGAUCGAACAGGAUUAGAAACCCGGGUAGUCU
rnacentral:rRNA from 1 species